rnacentral:rRNA from 1 species
UACAGAGGUCCCAAGCGUUGUUCGGAUUCACUGGGCGUAAAGGGUGCGUAGGCGGUCGGGUAAGUCUGAUGUGAAAUCUCACAGCUUAACUGUGAAACUGCAUUGGAUACUAUCCGGCUCGAGGAAUGGAGGGGAGACUGGAAUACUUGGUGUAGCAGUGAAAUGCGUAGAUAUCAAGAGGAACACCAGUGGCGAAGGCGAGUCCCUGGACAAUACCUGACACUGAGGCACGAAAGCUAGGGGAGCAAACAGG